UACGUAGGGUGCAAGCGUUUAAUCGGAAUUACUGGGCGUAAAGCGUGCGCAGGCGGUUUGGUAAGACAGAUGUGAAAUCCCCGGGCUUAACCUGGGAAUUGCAUUUGUGACUGCCCGGCUAGAGUGUGUCAGAGGGGGGUAGAAUUCCGACGUGUAGCAGUGAAAUGCGUAGAUAUGUGGAGGAAUACCGAUGGCGAAGGCAGCCCCCUGGGAUAACACUGACGCUCAUGCACGAAAGCGUGGGGAGCAAACAGG
rnacentral:rRNA from 1 species